rnacentral:rRNA from 1 species
AACGAACGCUGGCGGCAGGCUUAACACAUGCAAGUCGAACGCCCCGCAAGGGGAGUGGCAGACGGGUGAGUAACGCGUGGGAAUCUACCCAGAUCUUCGGAACAACUGAGGGAAACUUCAGCUAAUACCGGAUACGCCCUACGGGGGAAAGAUUUAUCGGUUCUGGAUGAGCCCGCGUUGGAUUAGCUAGUUGGUGGGGUAAUGGCCUACCAAGGCGACGAUCCAUAGCUGGUCUGAGAGGAUGAUCAGCCACACUGGGACUGAGACACGGCCCAGACUCCUACGGGAGGCAGCAGUGGGGAAUAUUGGACAAUGGGCGAAAGCCUGAUCCAGCCAUGCCGCGUGAGUGAUGAAGGCCUUAGGGUUGUAAAGCUCUUUCAGUGGGGAAGAUAAUGACGGUACCCACAGAAGAAGCCCCGGCUAACUUCGUGCCAGCAGCCGCCGUAAGAC